AUUGAACGCUGGCGGCAGGCCUAACACAUGCAAGUCGAGCGGAUGAAGGGAGCUUGCUCCUGGAUUCAGCGGCGGACGGGUGAGUAAUGCCUAGGAAUCUGCCUGGUAGUGGGGGAUAACGUCCGGAAACGGGCGCUAAUACCGCAUACGUCCUGAGGGAGAAAGUGGGGGAUCUUCGGACCUCACGCUACCAGAUGAGCCUAGGUCGGAUUAGCUAGUUGGUGGGGUAAAGGCCUACCAAGGCGACGAUCCGUAACUGGUCUGAGAGGAUGAUCAGUCACACUGGAACUGAGACACGGUCCAGACUCCUACGGGAGGCAGCAGUGGGGAAUAUUGGACAAUGGGCGAAAGCCUGAUCCAGCCAUGCCGCGUGUGUGAAGAAGGUCUUCGGAUUGUAAAGCACUUUUAGUUGGGAGGAAGGGCAGUAAGUUAAUACCUUGCUGUUUUGACGUUACCAACAGAAUAAGCACCGGCUAACUUCGUG
rnacentral:rRNA from 1 species